UGAAAGGACAGGGAUUUCUAUUGCCCAAAACCAGCUUGGCAGAGAGAAAGUGGAUGAUUUCAUGACUUCAAGCCCCCAGGCUUGGAAGGGAGAGAUUUCUAAAGAAAGGAUUUGUGAUGCUGAAGUGAAAAUCAUUUCCUUCCAAAAAUGAAACAGCCAGCUGUCAAGGUGCAGACAAGUGCCAAGAAAAGGCAACGAAGAAAAGGAACUAAAUGGAGAAUCAGAAAUCAAUGCAGAAUUUCAUAAGCCUGUGAAAAAUUAUUUUUCUUUACAUAAGGGGAGGUAGGCAAAGGAUUCA
rnacentral:lncRNA from 1 species